AGUUGUGCUUUCUGAUGUUCAUCUCAUAUCGUUGAUUUAUUAGCUAACCACUAAGCAGAACUUUCUAUUUUCUUCUCCUUGCAGGCACAAGAGCUACAGUACUGUACAAUUAAGACCUCGAAUUUUCUCGUCAUUAAAGAUGAAAUCCGAAACAAUUCUUUUGGUGAUGGCGUUUUUAGUGGCGGCUGCUACCUUAUCAUCAGCGGAUGAUUGUUUAGACUGCACCACUACUUUCACCAUGUGUUUUGAUGCGUGCCAAAAUCCGACCAUUUGCUCUCAGUGCAUCGAUGCGAAAGACAACUGUCAGAGUACAUAUUGCGGUAAAAAAAGGAGCUUUCGACCAAGACUUCGUUCCUUCAAUGACUUUAUGAAACAAAAGUGAGUUUAAGAGAUACCAAAAUUAAGAAGAGUACCUUCAAAAGAAUCGCCCAUAUAGUACUGAAAUAAUUGUAUUAGAAUACUUGGAGUAGUAAGAGUAUCUACUAUUGUAACCCUACUCCAUUCAUUUAGAAAGUUGUAAAAAAAAACAAUCCGCUCUCUCACAA